AACGAACGCUGGCGGCAUGCCUUACACAUGCAAGUCGAACGAUACCUUCGGGUCUAGUGGCGCACGGGUGCGUAACGCGGGGGAACCUGCCCCUAGGUUCGGAAUAACUCCCCGAAAGGGGUGCUAAUACCUGAUAAUGUCUUCUGACCAAAGAUUUAUCGCCUUUGGAUGGGCCAGCGUUGGAUUAGCUAGUUGGUAGGGUAAAAGCCUACCAAGGCGACGAUCCAUAGAUGGUCUGAGAGGAUGAUCAGCCACACUGGUACUGAGACGCGGCCCAGACUCUUAGGGGAGGCGGCAGUGGGGAAUCUAGCAAAAUGGGCGGAAGGCUGAUCCAGCAAUGCUGGGUGAGUGAUGAAGGACUGAGGGUAGUAGAGCUGUCUUACCCGGGAUGAUAAUGACAGUACCGGGAGAAUAAGCUCCGGCUAACUACGUG
rnacentral:rRNA from 1 species